GACAGAGGCCUCAAGCGUUAGGCGGAAUCACUGGGCUUAAAGCGUGUGUAGGCGGAUCGUUAAGUGUCUUGUGAAAUCCCACGGCUCGCCCGUGGAACUGCUGGGCAUACUGGCGAUCUUGGGCCAACUAGGGGCAACUGGAACAAGCGGUGGAGCGGUGAAAUGCGUAGAUAUCGCUUGGAACGCCGAAGGUGAAAACAGGCUGCUGGGGUUGUGCCGACGCUGAGACACGAAAGCCAGGGGAGCAAACGGG
rnacentral:rRNA from 1 species